AGCGAACGCUGGCGGCAGGCCUAACACAUGCAAGUCGAACGAACCUUUCGGGGUUAGUGGCGGACGGGUGAGUAACACGUGGGAACGUGCCUUUAGGUUCGGAAUAACUCAGUGAAACUUGUGCUAAUACCGAAUGUGCCCUUCGGGGGAAAGAUUUAUCGCCUUUAGAGCGGCCCGCGUCUGAUUAGCUAGUUGGUUGAGGUAAUGGCUCACCAAGGCGACGAUCAGUAGCUGGUCUGAGAGGAUGAUCAGCCACAUUGGGACUGAGACACGGCCCAAACUCCUACGGGAGGCAGCAGUGGGGAAUCUUGCGCAAUGGGCGAAAGCCUGACGCAGCCAUGCCGGGUGAAUGAUGAAGGUCUUAGGAUUGUAAAAUUCUUUCACCGGGGACGAUAAUGACGGUACCCGGAGAAGAAGCCCCGGCUAACUUCGUG
rnacentral:rRNA from 1 species